rnacentral:rRNA from 1 species
GAUGAACGCUAGCGACAGGCCUAACACAUGCAAGUCGAGGGGCAUCGGGACGUAGCAAUACGUUGCCGGCGACCGGCGGAUGGGUGAGUAACGCGUAUGCAACCUACCCGUAGCAGGGGGAUAGCCCGUUGAAAGACGGAUUAAUACCCCGUAACACAGGGGCUCCGCAUGGAGAUUAUUGUUAAAGGGUCAUUUCUUUUUCAGGGAUGGUCCGGCUGCGGAUGGGCAUGCGUUCCAUUAGGUAGUUGGUGUAGGUAACUGCUCACCAAGCCGACGAUGGAUAGGGGAACUGAGAGGUUGGUCCCCCACACUGGUACUGAGACACGGACCAGACUCCUACGGGAGGCAGCAGUGAGGAAUUUUGGUCAAUGGACGCAAGUCUGAACCAGCCAUGUCGCGUGAAGGAGGACGGCCCUAAGGGUUGUAAACUGCUUUUGUACGGAACGAAACGGUGAGCUCUAAUAAAGCUUGCUAAUGACGGUACCGUAAGAAUAAGCACCGGCUAACUACGUGCCAGC